rnacentral:rRNA from 1 species
AUUGAACGCUGGCGGCAGGCCUAACACAUGCAAGUCGAGCGAAUGAAGGGAAAUUUCUCCUGGCUGCUGUGGCGGGCGGGUGAGUAAUGCCCAGGAAUCUGCCUGGCCGUGGGGGAUAACGUCCGUUAACGAGCCCUAAUCUCGCACACGUCCUGAGUUUGAACGGCGUGGUUCUUCGGAGCAAACGGUUUCAGCUGAGCCUAGGUCGGAUUAGCUAGUUGGUAAGGUAACGGCUUACCAAGGCGACGAUCCGUACCAGAUCUGAGAGGCUGAUCUGUCACACUGGAACUGAGACACGGUCCAGACUCCUACGGGAGGCAGCAGUAGGGAAUCUUCGGCAAUGGGCGAAAGCCUGACGGAGCAAUGCCGCGUGAGUGAUGAAGGUCUUCGGAUUGUAAAACUCUGUUAGUAGGGAGGAACAUAAGUGUAUGUAAACCUGCACGUCUUGACGGUACCUAAAGAGAAAGCCCCGGCUAACUACGUG